rnacentral:ncRNA from 2 species
GCCCGUUCUCAGGGCGGGGCGGAAUUCCCCACCGGCGGUAAGUGGGGAAACCUGCAAGCCCGCGAGCGCCUCUCGCGUUGAGAGGGUCAAGCAGAUCAGGUGCGAUUCCUGAGCCGACGGUCAAAGUCCGGAUGAAAGAGAAUAUGU